UACGUAGGGAGCAAGCGUUGUCCGGAUUCACUGGGUGUAAAGGGCGCGCAGGCGGCUUUGUAAGUCAGAGGUGAAAUCUCACGGCUUAACCGUGAAACUGCCUUUGAUACUGCAGACCUUGAGUUUGGGAGAGGUUGAUGGAAUUCCAGGUGUAGCGGUGAAAUGCGUAGAUAUCUGGAAGAACACCAGUGGCGAAGGCGGUCAACUGGCCCAUAACUGACGCUCAGGCACGAAAGCGUGGGGAGCAAACAGG
rnacentral:rRNA from 1 species